AAAAACAUUUAGCUUUUUUUUUGUUUUUCUCCAACAAUUAAAAUUGUUUAACAGAAUCAAAUUUAAUUUGUUUUUCUUUUUUUUUGAAUAAUUAAUAGAAUUGGUUUCUUGAUUAGUUUUAAAGAGUAUCGUUUGAGAAUUUUCAUCGGUGCCGAUCAAUUUUCUAAGUGAUUAAGUUUGUGUUUAAGUGUUUAAUCGCUCAUGGAAUUCCUGAUUUAAUCGUUUUGUGGCUAAUUGAUGCGUUUAUGAGAUAAGCAGAAUCAAAGGUUUGCAGAUUUGAAUUUCUCAAUCCCUUGACCCCAAUGUCCGAACCUUUUGUUUGAAAUCCAAAGCGCGAAUGAGCAACAAUUUCGCUCACUUCCUGACAACAAUUGACAAUUCUGUUAAUUGCAUAGAUAGCAUGAGAAUUUACUGGACUUGAAAAGCCUCAACAAGGAUAUUUUCAAAGAUAAAGUGCUGUUACAUUUAUCGAAGGCAAGUUAGAAAAUCUGUAAAUUAUCAAUAUAUCAGGUUCGCAAUUAGAAAGAAAAUCCAUUUCUGCAUGGUAUUGGACACUAACACUAAUCAGUAUUUAACAUGUCGAGAGUUCGAAGAGUUGAAGGCUUCUACCAUCACUCGAAUGGAUAACCCAUGUUAUUGUCCGCUUCAUGGAGGAAGAGUGCCCAGUUAUGAAAAUCGAUUCGACUUUACUAUGCACCUCAUUAAAAUGGAUGUUUAUUGUUUCCAGUGUGUCCGAUGUAAUUUGGUGUUCGUUAAUUUCGAUGGCUAUAAAAACCAUGAUAAUCUAAAAAAAUGUAUUCAAAAUGAUUUAGAGAGUCACUUUAUUAUUAUUCACGAUUAUCCUCGGAUUUCCAUGAGACUUGAAACCAGAGCUUCCAGUUGAUUAAAACAUUAAUUAACAGAAAUUCAACUGGAAAUACAUUUGACCUGCCAGAGUAUAAAAAAUGGUUCAUUGAAGAAAACGUUAGCUGUACUUAAUCUGGACAAUCAACGCGGUUAUAAUUGUCCAAUUUUAAAUGGCAAUCUAAUUUAUCGCUUAAAGGAACAAUCAAUUUAAUUGGACAAUCAUGAUAACUUUUCAUUCACUCUCACACUAUUUAAGGUGAACCGGUUGAAAGAUUCAUCGUUUUGAAAAAUUGCAAUUGGAAAAUAAUCAUUGCGAGAUGACAAACAAAUGAUGAGUUAAGGAGGAGCAAAAGUCAUGAAUGAAUUAUUCCAAGGAGUGUAAUUCAAAAUCUCUCAUCAUGUUUACCUAAAUACCUGAUACAAGCAGCAUGAUGAUUCCUUCUAACGGUAAAGCGAUGGAUUUAAUUUCGUGAGGUGCUUGAAUCACGAUAAUGUAGUAACAUUUACCUUGAUACCUUAUUAACUUACAUCUUGUAUAAAUCACGCAAUCAACUAAUUAAUCUGCUACUGUACUGGCUAAACAAAACAUCAACACUCACUCACACAGAAACAAAUACGAGGUUCAUCCCUCUUGUAAUCAUUUGAAAGAGCAUAAAACAAAUUAACUGAUGAAAUUGAACAAUAAGAGAAACUGAUUAAUGAGAAGCUGAUUAACCGUAUAUUUAACCAGAAACAAGGGUUCCAGUUGAAUUGACGAUGACCAAUUGGUUGAUUAAACCAUGAACAUUGAUCUGGAAAAUAGAUUAACCAUGAAGCCCAUUGGCCUGGUCAUGAUUAACCAUCAACAACUAAAUCAGAAAUGGUUCAUUCCGAUUGAAUUUUAGUUACUAUCAGCAAUUAACUCCUUUCAUUUACCAACAAUAUGGAUGAUGCAACAAUCAAAGUAUCCUAACCAGUUUCAUUUGAACUGUCAAAAAAUUCACUCUCAAUAAUUAAACCCACUCACAAAAGUCACUGAUUUUAAUUCAUUUGAUUAUUUUAAACAUGAUAAUCAAGUGAAAUAAAUUGAUUGCAAUUUAAAUAUUACAUUCUGAUGAUAUUUUCCAAGUCAUCCAAUUGUAUUAACACCCAUAACUGCAAUUGAAGCUGAAAACAACCAAGAUGAACAUUUAAUUGCAUCGCAAUCAAUAUCAAAUAAAGUAAUUAAAUAUUAUAUUAAGUGAGAGAAAGCAAAUGUCAUCAUACAACUACAAUUAAACGAGAAUCAAAUGAAUCAUAAAUUAUUUUCUGAUCAACUUUCACUGGAAAUCACAGAACUGUUAUCAAUCCGACAAUCAACUGAACCUCUCACGAAUUGGAUUACAAAUUAAUUGUCAAAAGAUGAUUCAGUUAACCAUCAAUCAAUACUGUCUAAAGAAACUUGAACUUGGGUGGAGUUCAGUGGGUGGCGGUGGGUAAAAGGAACGAUUCAUUCAUGUAGAAAAGAAAAAAGAAAAUUUUCUAAACUGGAUUUAGUUGAUUAUCUCAAAUUGUUAACGAUUAAGAUGAUUAUUAAUGCUUCCAUUGUAUCCAUUCACUAUAAUGGAAAGAAAUUGUUGAUAUUGAUUAUUUUGGGUUAAUUGUAACAAUCGAGAUCAUUGUUAUUGGUUAAUCUUUCUCAUCAUAUUAUGUUUCUUAUCAUUGUUUCCUGUGUUCAUCAGUUUAAUCACAUUGGACAAACAACAAUUAAUCUAAUCAAUGUAAUCUCUUUGGAAGUCAUUGUUUCCGUUAUAAUUAAUAUUAUGAUUUAUUUCAUUAUUAACAUGAGUAAAUGAAACUGUUCAAGUUUAAUCACUUGAAUCAAUACACUUGUAUCAUUGAAGU